rnacentral:rRNA from 1 species
CCUACGGGAGGCAGCAGUGGGGAAUAUUGCACAAUGGGGGAAACCCUGAUGCAGCGACGCCGCGUGCGUGAUGAAGUAUUUCGGUAUGUUAAGCUCUAUCAGCAGGGAAGAAAAUGACGUUACCUGAUUAACAAUCCCCGGCUAACUACGUGCCAGCAGCCGCGGUAAUACGGAGGGGGCAAGCGUUAUACGGAUUUACUGGGUGUAAAGGGAGCGUAGACGGCAGCACAAGUCUGGAGUGAAAUGCCGGGGCUUAACCCCGGAACUGCAUUGGAAACUGGGCAGCUAGAGUGCAGGGGAGGUAAGUGGAAUUCGUAGUGUAGCGGUGAAAUGCGUAGAUAUGAGGAGGAACACCAGUGGCGAAGGCGGCUUGCUGGACUGUAACUGACGUUGAGGCUCGAAAGCGUGGGGAGCAAACAGGAUUAGAUACCCCAGUAGUC